UAUAAAGUAAACUAAUAAAAGUUUUUGGGCUCAUAAUCCAACCAUGGCAUUUUCCCUUUAUUA
rnacentral:tRNA from 1 species